rnacentral:rRNA from 1 species
UAAGACUUUAAUUGAGUGCUAAGAGAAUGGAAUUACAAAAAAAUUCUUUCUUAACUUUAAUAAUUGAAAUUAUUUUUAUUUGUGAAGAAACAAUAAUAUAAUUUAAGGACAAGAAGACCCUAAGAAUUUUAUAAUUUUUAAUGUAUAAUUUUAUACAUUAAAAAUUUUUAAUUGGGGCGAUUAAUAAAAAUUUAAAACUUUAUUUAAAAAUAAAAUGUGAACCAUUAAUAAUGGUAAUAUGGUUAAAAUACUCUAGGGAUAACAGCGUAAUAAUUUUAGAUAGUUCUUAUAGACAAAAUAGUUUGCGACCUCGAUGUUGGAUUAGGAUUCUUUUUUAAUGAAGGAG